UCACCGAUGCUGGGCACCAACUGAUUUUCAUCACCGAUGCUAGUGGUGAACCUGCAUCUCGAUUUUCUCCGUUUUAUUUCCCUUUUUUAACUGACCUUAAUUUCUACUUCAGCUAGAAACAGAAUGUUACAGAACUGCAACAUUGCAUCCCCUAAUUAAUCAGAUCCAAAGCUUAUCAUAUCCACUAACACAGAGAAGAGUAAGUGAUCACCUAGCAGCAGCAGCCAACAG
rnacentral:lncRNA from 1 species